GCUUAUCACCAUUCCAGAUUGAAUAUACCCGAUCUCGUCUGAUCUCAGAAGUCCAGCAAUCUCGGGCUUGGUUAGUA
rnacentral:rRNA from 1 species